AUUGAACGCUGGCGGCAUGCCUUACACAUGCAAGUCGAACGGUAACAGGUCUUCGGAUGCUGACGAGUGGCGAACGGGUGAGUAAUACAUCGGAACGUGCCUAGUAGUGGGGGAUAACUACUCGAAAGAGUGGCUAAUACCGCAUGAGAUCUACGGAUGAAAGCAGGGGAUCGCAAGACCUUGUGCUACUAGAGCGGCCGAUGGCAGAUUAGGUAGGUGGUGGGAUAAAAGCUUACCAAGCCGACGAUCUGUAGCUGGUCUGAGAGGACGAUCAGGCAGACUGGGACUGAGACACGGCCCAGACUCCUACGGGAGGCAGCAGUGGGGAAUUUUGGACAAUGGGCGCAAGCCUGAUCCAGCAAUGCCGCGUGCAGGAUGAAGGCCUUCGGGUUGUAAACUGCUUUUGUACGGAACGAAAAGCCCUGGGUUAAUACCCUGGGGUCAUGACGGUACCGUAAGAAUAAGCACCGGCUAACUACGUGCCAGCAGCCGCUGUAAAAC
rnacentral:rRNA from 1 species